rnacentral:rRNA from 1 species
UGGGGAAUAUUGCACAAUGGGCGAAAGCCUGAUGCAGCAACGCCGCGUGAGUGAUGAAGGUCUUCGGAUUGUAAAGCUCUGUCUUUUGGGACGAUAAUGACGGUACCAAAGGAGGAAGCCACGGCUAACUACGUGCCAGCAGCCGCGGUAAUACGUAGGUGGCGAGCGUUGUCCGGAUUUACUGGGCGUAAAGGGUGCGUAGGCGGAUGUUUAAGUGAGAUGUGAAAUACCCGGGCUUAACUUGGGUGCUGCAUUUCAAACUGGAUACCUAGAGUGCAGGAGAGGAGAAUGGAAUUCCUAGUGUAGCGGUGAAAUGCGUAGAGAUUAGGAAGAACACCAGUGGCGAAGGCGAUUCUCUGGACUGUAACUGACGCUGAGGCACGAAAGCGUGGGUAGCAAACAGGAUUAGAUACCCUGGUAGUCCACGCCGUAAACGAUGAGUACUAGGUGUAGGAGGUAUCGACCCCUUCUGUGCCGCAGUAAACACAUUAAGUACUCCGCCUGGGAAGUACGAUCGCAAGAUUAAAACUCUAAAGUGAAUU